UACGAAGGGGGCUAGCGUUGCUCGGAAUUACUGGGCGUAAAGAGUGUGUAGGCGGUGCUCCCAGUCUGUUGUGAAAUCUCCCGGCUUAACUGGGAGGGUGCAGCGGAAACUAGAGUGCUAGAGGGUGGGAGAGGUAAGCGGAAUUCCUGGUGUAGCGGUGAAAUGCGUAGAUAUCAGGAGGAACACCUGUGGUGUAGACAGCUUACUGGACCACUUCUGACGCUGAGGCGCGAAAGCUAGGGGGAGCAAACAGG
rnacentral:rRNA from 1 species